UACGGUGAAUACGUUCCCGGACCUUGUAUACACCGCCCGUCAAGCCAUGGAAGCUGGGUGUACCUAAAGUCGAUAACCGUAAGGAGUCGCCUAGGGUAAAACUAGUAACUGGGGCU
rnacentral:rRNA from 1 species